CCUCUGUUUUCUCUCUCUUCCACAGCCUUUAAUUACAAAUAAACUGAUCGUUAACAACAUUAUUCAUCGAAAAGGAAGAGUAAUUUGUAGGAAAGGAGCAACCUUUACGGGGUCUGUGGCACCCAUUUGGCGGGUUUUGAGGUGACGUCACUUCCCGGCGACGGCGGUCGUCUCUCUUGUAUAAAAGAAUGUUUUGCAAAAAGUCUUCUUCAUACAAAUCGGAUUACGUUAUUAUUUGUGUGAAUCCAACCAGAGAUUAUGCCAUGUGCGUCAGUGCGUGAGGGGCAAUUUCCAUAGAAGUCUGCGUUUGUUUUUUAUGUUGGUUGUUGGUCAGUGCAUGUUGUUGUAAGAGAAAAACACACGUGAAGAAUGGUGGAGAAGGAGAUCGUUAUCUUGUGCGUUGACGUGUAAGCUUCAACAAUGAAAAAUGAAGCGACGCGUCUGCGGUUUGAUAGGAAACUAACGGUUGCGAUUUGUUGUUUCAUGGAGACUGAGUUCCGUAUCACAACUUUGUUGUUUCCUGCUAUAUAUAUAUUAUUCUCCAAACAUCAAUACAUCAUUGUAUAUUUUGUAUGUUAGUAGUCAUUAUUAAAUCUAAGUCGUUUUCUAAAACCA